UACAGAGGUCUCAAGCGUUGUUCGGAUUCAUUGGGCGUAAAGGGUGUGUAGGUGGCGCGCUAAGUCGGGUGUGAAAUUUCGGAGCUUAACUCCGAAACUGCAUUCGAUACUGGCUCGCUAGAGUGCGGUAGAGGAGAGUGGAAUUCCCGGUGUAGCAGUGAAAUGCGUAGAGAUCGGGAGGAACAUCAGUUGCGAAGGCGGCUCUCUGGACCAGCACUGACACUGAGGCACGAAAGCGUGGGGAGCAAACAGG
rnacentral:rRNA from 1 species